UUUCAUCUAAAGACAACAAAGAUUUACCAUUUCAUAGAUUUCCUAAGAAUUUGGAAAAAAGGAAAAAAUGGGCAUCAGCAUUAGGGUUYGGGUUGCAAGAAAUUGGUGAUUGGCAAUAUGUUUGUGGAAAUCACUUCACAAAUGAUUGUUAUAUUUUUAGUACUGCAAGA